CUUCAACCCGAUUCAAAUCCGCCGCUGCGCUAGUCCCGCGAGAGUUGGUAGUUGUUCGCCAAUCGGGAGAGCCCCGAGGAGCAGUUCUGUUUUGAUUGGCUGGCUGCCGCCGCCCCACCCCUGAUCCCGCCUCCCUCUCUCUAGCUGAAACUCUCUGCCCUCAGCAAGCUCUUUGUUGAGCGCGAAAGUCAAACGAGCAGGAGAGCUUUGGGAAUGGCCCGGGCCAGCGUAGCGACGCAAACUGCGUAAGCGUGAGAAUGGGAGAAGCAGAAAGGUUUUUGUUGUUAAGGGAGAUGUAAGGAGGCGCCAAAUGGGUAGUGGAUUAGUUUUGCCCGUUCGAAGUUAGCUGCUACGGACUAUAUACCUAAAGAUCGAUGAGUUUUGUGGCACUUUGGAAGCUCAGACAUUUAUUGUGGCAUAAACUCUGCCGGAUUGGAAUUGCUCGUAUCAUCAUUCAGUGCAAGGCAAUGCAAAUGAUGCCAUUAAAUGUGAAGAGCAUGGGAUUGGAUCUGUGCAGAUUGUUAAGAGAUGUGUGGUUAUGGAAAUGAGGAGAAAAGGAGUGCCCAUUCAUUGGUGAUGUUGGCUGAUCUGCAGGAACCCAUCCUACAUUAAGGCUGCAAUCCUAUACACCUUUACAUGAGAGUUUGAUCACCUUUUGGGGGAAAUUGCUUGCCCAGCCUUGUUCACCAUUCACUUGCAACAGAAUUCAAGCACUUACGAGGAUUCACAGGAAAGUUUCAAUAAGGGAUACCUGAGGAAAUAGAUGCUGGGCCUCCGCAAUAUUUUCAUUAAGUGGUACGCCCUUAGGGCUGGUCUUGCCCAAAUUUGAAGUGAAUCCCCUAUUGUUUCUUGUUUCAUGCCACUCUAUAUUUUUCAUUACCCUGACAAUACUUCACAUUAUUAUGAUGCCAUUAUUUAGUAUGUUUCCCCCCUCAAAGCUCAAUAUAGCUUCGUGUCUGUGCUUAUUUUCCUACACGUCAAAAAACCUGCAGAUGAAGGUGAGGCUGACCAGCUUUAGGCAUCCCUUUCUCUUUGAAGCAUGGCCAGCGGAACAUGUUCCUUCAGCAUGUUAAAUAAAACUAGGCCUCCAGUUUCCUGCCAAAACACUAUGGAAGUAAAUCAAGACCAACCCGGUAUAUUUUCUUUACACCUCAUUACUAUUUCCCUAAGUAUUUUCUGGGAUGAGCAUUAACUUGAAACAAGCCUGGUUUAUAAUCCUGUAAAAUCUGAAAUCACACACAUUGGGACUUUUGGAUACAUAAAGAAAUAUUCAAAUUAAUUUGAAUAAACGGAGAGGUUUUGCUAUCAUCCCUGCUGUCAGCACUGCAAAACCCUCAGCUUAUGCCUGAACUUCAGGCUGCAGUGGUUCCUGCUGGGCUGUGUGGGUGACGUGCACUGGCAUGAGUUCUAUGCACGUUCCACAACUAAAGAGUGACAUCGAGCUCCCUACAUGGGGUGGUAAAUCUCUGUUGUAGCACUAGGAAGCUAGAAUGAAGAAACAAGCUAAGUCACAUCAAGCAAUUGGGUUGGAAGCCAGGAUGCAGUGUGACAGGAAAAAAACAACCCAUAAUCAAACAUCGCAAGCACAAAUUUGAAGGGGAGGGGGAAGUUUAGAAUAGUAGUUAAGGUCAGCAGACGCCAAUGAACUGAGAUAGGACCGAGAUGGGGAGGUCUUCCAAACUGAGAAAGUGGUCCACAAGACAUUUUUUGCCAUUUCCAAAGGUGACUUUGAGGCAGGUGAAACCCAUUUAGGACUCUCAAAUAAGAACAGGGGAUGUUGUAAGCAAAGCAACUCCUCCUUAUGUAUACAUCCCUCCCGGAGUGAUUAACUGUUUUCCAUUUAUUAUUAAGAGUAUUAAGCUUGUGUAUUUUUUAAAAUAAACUGUAGGGGGUGGGGAUUGUGUGAACUGGCUUUCCGUUGAAUCAAAUAGGCAUAAAUUCUCUUUUAAAGUCCUGGAAUUAAUCUUGGAUCACUGAAGCCAGUGUUUUUGAAGCUUUGAAGUUUUAAUUAUUUCCCCGAAAUGGUGUCACUCCAUGACAAAUGUAAAGCUUCUCUAAAAAGGUUAAUCCUUUUUUUCUAACUGCAUCAUAAAGGUAAAAGGAAAAGAAAAAGGCAAAACAGUUGAAACAUCAAAGCCCUAAGUCACAUUAACUUACAGAUGUAAUAAUAAUACCAAAGUGGUAAGCAGCUUCCAUAAGUGGAUAUUUAUCUUUGGAGUCAUAAGCUGAUUGAGGUGUUUCCCAGAUAAUCCAUUCCUAUUUUAAGCACUGAUUAGUGCAAAUGUUAAGUUAAUGCAAACCAUGCUUCAUCCUUAAUUGAUCUAGAAGGAAGCCAAUCCUAUCUAGUGGUUUAUCACCACAUUGUAAAUUUCAAGUUAAACAACCAGUACUUAAAAGGAGCAAUUUAUCAGCACAGGAUCUUCUGGAAGUGUCCGGUUUGCCUUCUUCCUCUGUAUAGUUCUGUUUUGCUAAUUCCCCCAUUACAAGCAAUGAGAGACUCUGUCUGUUUUUGCUGCACUAAAUAGCUUUUGUGAUGCAUGUAGACAAAUGUUGUGCUCUCACAGUGGCUGCCACAUCCACUGGGAAGGAGAAACAGGGAAAAUAGAUGGCAGAUGGAGCUGAAGUGACAAUUCCUCCUGGAGCUUCUUAUAUCCUGAACAGUGGAUGGGAAAUGUAAAAGUCAGUGCUGAAAUUUAAUAGGUUCCUUGUCACAAGUCCCAUUUAUGUUAUGAAAAGUCUCAGACGCUGUGUCUUCGCCCACUUUGUAUAAUUUUCAGUACAUUGGAAAGGUCAAAGCUCUUUGAAAUCAUUUCCAGGAGAUUUUCAUCGCUUUCCACUCCGCUGAUGAACUCUUCUAAACUCAAUUCCCCUAGAAUAAAAAAA